rnacentral:rRNA from 1 species
GUAGGUGGCAAGCGUUGUCCGGAUUUACUGGGCGUAAAGGGCUUGUAGGCGGUUCGUUAAGUCCGGUGUGAAAUCUCCCGGCUCAACUGGGAGGGGCCAUCGGAAACUGGCGAGCUAGAGGUGGGCAGAGGAAAGCGGAAUCCCCGGUGUAGCGGUGAAAUGCGUAGAUAUCGGGAGGAACACCAGUGGCGAAGGCGGCUUUCUGGGCCUAUCCUGACGCUGAGGAGCGAAAGCGUGGGGAGCAAACCGGAUUAGAUACCCGGGUAGUCCACGCCCUAAACGGUGGAUGCUAGGUGUGGGGGGUGUCGACCCCCUUCUGUGCCGUAGCUAACGCUUUAAGCAUCCCGCCUGGGGAGUACGGCCGCAAGGCUA